CGGCUCAUCUCCCCCCACCUGCCGUCCACCACCUAAGACAGCAGACCCAGACAGGAAAGGAAAGAUAACAGACCCAACUUCCCCACCUCAAACUACAUCUGGCCGCACCUUUGGACCUUCCACUUCCGGACCACCACAACUUCUAUACCCCCUCUGAGAAGUUGCAGGAACAGAGGGUAUCUUCAGGUCACUCACAGGACCUGGCUGAUAUCCCUGACCUCGUGAGCUUGGCUGCUGAAGAGUGACGGUCUAGAGAGUCAGGAAGCCCCUUGGACAAUCACCAGGACUGAGCUCCGGAACUCACAGACAAGAUGGAUUGCUCAUGUCCUUCUCCAUCACUUCUCGAUGAAUCCACUCCUCUGCUGUGCUUGAAUCCAGAAUUGAGGCCUGAAAGGCACAAUUGUGAUCAGAGUUUGCCUGAAGCCUACUGAGAAUAAGGCAUCAGAAAAGAAAUGCCACUUCUGUCCUCAAACAUGCUGCAGUAGGGCUGUAAGGACCCCCAACACAGGCUUUUCCUACCCCUCUCACAACAAGAAGCUCUGGACUUCUGUGUGGACAUACUACAGCCAACUUGAGAGCUUGAUGGCAGAGAGGGUAGGCAAAAACCCAUGGCCCAGCCCUACAUACUCCAUCUGGCGUUCCUCCCAGGACUCUGCCUGCUAUCCAAGCACUACCACCAGAUCCAGACCGAAGUCAGCCAAUAUAGAAAGGUCUACUGAUGCUGGAUGCACAAGCCCAAACAUCACAGACAAAAACCACCCUUCCCAGCCAGUGCAAAGCUUUGCUACUCUCACGGUGUGUGGUCUCCUCAGGUAGGCCCAUCCUCAACAUGAAUCUCUGUUCCUGCUGAUACCA